rnacentral:rRNA from 1 species
GUGAACGCUAGCGGUGCGCCUAACACAUGCAAGUCGAACGGGUUUAGACCCGUGGCGAACGGCUGAGUAACACGUUGGAACCUGCCCCGAACUCAGGGAUAACCCGCCGAAAGGCGGGCUAAUACCGGAUGCCCCCGCAAGGGGAAAGAUUUUUCGGUUCGGGAGGGUCCUGCGGCCUAUCAGAUAGUUGGUAAGGUAACGGCUUACCAAGUCUAUGACGGGUAGCUGGUCUGAGAGGACGACCAGCCAGAAUGGGACUGAGACACGGCCCAUACUCCUACGGGAGGCAGCAGUGAGGAAUCUUCCGCAAUGGGCGAAAGCCUGACGGAGCGACACCGCGUGAAGGAUGAAACCCUUUUGGGCGUAAACUUCUGUUCUGAGGGACGAAAUUUUUGACGGUACCUCAGGAGAAAGCACCGGCUAAUUCUGU